rnacentral:rRNA from 1 species
UACGGGGGGGGCUAGCGUUGUUCGGAAUUACUGGGCGUAAAGGGCGCGUAGGCGGCCUACUAAGUCGGACGUGAAAUCCCUCGGCUCAACCGGGGAACUGCGUCCGAUACUGGUGGGCUCGAAUCCGGGAGAGGGAUGUGGAAUUCCAGGUGUAGCGGUGAAAUGCGUAGAUAUCUGGAGGAACACCGGUGGCGAAGGCGGCAUCCUGGACCGGUAUUGACGCUGACGCGCGAAAGCCAGGGGAGCAAACGGG